AUAAAAUAAACACAAAGGACUAACCAAACGCUCUGACCAUUUCAUGCUACUCUCUUCUUCUCCAUGGUUUCACUAUAGUUCAAAUUUGAGCUUUUCAACAUGGAAUUGGAAGGUGCAUCAAGUAGAAAAUAUAAAAAAUCUCAAAAGAAGGAAUCCAUCUCUUCUCCACAACCAUUGUUUAAUGUGGAUUCGAACCACUAUGUCGAGGGUAUUGCACAGUGCUGAGAGAAAACGAGGAGUGGUUGGAAAUUCUAGAUGGGGUAUUUCAGGAAAAUAGUGUUUUGAGUAAUACGGUGGCUGAGAGGAAGGGUAAUGGUGUCGAUGGUGAUGAAGAAAGUGAGGAUGAAAAUCGGUUAGAUGAUCAAGAUUUCAAUGAUCCAGACUAUAACUUAGAGGAAGAUGAUGACGAUUAUCAUGAUAUUACUGUUGAUAAUCAUGAUAUUACUGUUGAGAAUUAUUUUAAGAAGGCAAAAGGAAGACCAAAAAAAAUACCAAUGAUGGAAAUAAUAGAAUUGGACUAUCUGUUGGCAUCCUAAUUUCAGAAAUAAAUGAAAAUGGUGAUUCAGAUUAUGCUGAAUCUGAUGAAUUGGUAGAGUGAGAUACUGAUAAAGAAGAUGAGGUAGAGGUCGCAUAUGAGGAGUAUAACAAAGAAAUGGACAACCCUAUAUUAAAACUAGGAAUGAAGUUUGGGUCUUUUAAACAGUUUAAGGAGGCUUGUAUGAACUGGGGGGAUUAAGAAUAGGAGACAAUUACAUUUCAAACCCAAUGACUCAAAAAGAUGUGUUUGUCGAUGCAAGCAGGAAGGGUGUCCCUUUAGAUGUUUGUGCUUGUGCAAAGUACUGAAGGUAUUUCGAAAAGAGGCAGGAUUUUCAAGAGUCAUGAAGGACUAUGUUUGCAAAGUCUUAAAGAAGUCUCGGAAGUGAACUAUCAAGUUUUCUUUUUGUUUUUGUGCAAACUACUAAUGUGACACAGUUUAUUAUGUGUUAUUUUUUGUUUGAACUUGUGGUCUUAUAAACUUAACUCACUAGUUUGUCUCCAUGUGUUGCUUUGUAAGCAAUAAUUUUUUGUUAA